UCACCUGUUCCACUGUGAUUGUAGCUUGCUGUUGGCGUCUUCCUCAGGAAUUCCUCAAAAAAUCUUUGAACCUAUUGAUUUGAUUGCUGGAAUCACUGGCAUUGCUUACCUGGACCGUCACCAGGAUUCUGUUAGUGCUGAUUGUGGCUAAGUACGCCCCACUCUCUUCAAAAAGGUCGGUUUUUUUUUUUCCACCUGUCGGAUCAGCUCCUCAUCUGGAUCGAAAGAUGGCGAGCUAGGAAUGGACUAUGGACUUUAUGAUUUGGAAAAUCAAUUUAUUCUGAGUCAAUUCUCAUGUGUCUCAUUGUGUUAUUGUAAUUGU